CUGUGUUUUCUUGUUGGUGGUUACCUGCACUGAUAAUCAGUGCGGGGAUCAUGUGAUCUGCAUUGUGUGGCUGCUUGUCUUGGGUCACAUGAGGCAUGUCACAUGACACAUUAGGAGAUUAUAAAGUUUGGCUUGUGGAGUUCACACUCUUUUGCUGCUGCCAUUUGCCACUGCAACUAGACUCCCGUCAUACAGGGUGACUGCUAGAAUAAUGUGUUCCACUCUUCAUGAAGGACACAGGUGACUGCAUGGCAUUUGAAGGACUUGUGACCUCCUAUUGAGUUGCUGGGCUGCAGACACUCUGGUAGUUUGUCUUAUGUGAUUUCAUUUUUUAAAAUUGUUUUAUAUUGGUAUUUAAAAUGUGUUGCUUAUGUACGUGUAUUUGUAGCACUGGAGUGCCCCAUUUUAUCUUCCUGGGUUAUUGUGCUGCGGGGAGUAUUGAACACUCUUGCAAAGGACCAGGCCAGCCACUGUUUUAUUGUCAGUGUACAAGUCUUUUUUUUUUUUAGUUUGUUUGUUGGUUGUUUUGUUUGCCUUUGGCUUUGUCCUUUUUUUUGUCCUUGGUCUAGUGUAACCCUGCCUUGACCAAGCCAGCGCAGUGGUCAUUGUGUUGGGAGUUGGCUGUUCUCCUCUUUUUGUCUCUGUAUAGGUUCUCUGUACAAGGCCGGAUCUGCACCUCACUACUGCUCCUUUCAGUUGGGGGCUGCACUGAGGGGACACUAUUUUGGUGUGUACUGGUAACAUGCAACACGGUGUGGUAUUUUGUAGUGGUAAUUACUGACCUUGUGUGUGCAGUGUUUGCUAUGUUGCAUGCUUGUAUGGUGUUGGGUUUGUUGUGUCUGUCUCUCUCACCAGGGCCUCCUAGGAGAGGAGCUGUGGGUGCCGUGCCGACCGACCUUAUUAGUUUGAGAAGCUCCAGCCAGUUUCCCUUCGUCUCUUUUUCACAUUAGCAAUUGUACCUAUUCAAAAUUGUAAUAAAUUCGAGCUUGUGUACAUGCCUUGUGUAAACUGUUUCUUUGCGGGCAGGGUCUAGAAUCAGCCACACUACAGAGAGAAAAGGGGUUUCCCCUGCCCAUUUUAGGGGGUGGCGUAGUCAGACAGUAAAGUACAUGUAGGUAUUCUGCGUGUCAGGUACCACAC